GGACUACUGGGGUAUCUAAUCCUGUUUGAUCCCCGUGCUUUCGCGCCUCAGCGUCAGUUGUCGUCCAGAUAGCCGCCUUCGCCACCGGUGUUCCUCCUAAUAUCUACGAAUUUCACCUCUACAUUAGGAAUUCCGCUAUCCCCUCCGACACUCUAGCUAUACAGUUUCAAAGGCAAUUCCUGGGUUAAGCCCAGGGCUUUCACCUCUGACUUGGAUAGCCGCCUACGCGCGCUUUACGCCCAGUAAUUCCGAACAACGCUAGCACCCUUCGUAUUACCGCGGCUGCUGGCAC
rnacentral:rRNA from 1 species